GUAUGGCUGAGGUGGUCGUGGCUGCUGUUUGAUCGCGCUAAGACUAACGUGCCACGAGGCGUGGGUGGGGCCAAGAGCAGACACGAAGCAGCUCCCGAAGGGUGCCCAACCCGUAGCUAGACACCCCGGACCAGGGACCAGAAGAACUGUGGCGAGGACUCGGAGGACUCGGUAUAGGUGUUGCGGAGUUGCUGCCAGUUGUUGGGUCGACUUUUGUGCGGUCCUGGAGCCGCGCUGCCGAGAGGGUCCUAGAUCAGAAAGAACACAGAUUGUUUCAGAACAAUCUUCUGAAAUGGUCACAUGCAUGGGUGACCAUGGCAUGGACCCCAAAAAGGCCCCAGCAGUGAAGAAGGAGCCUGUAAAGAAAACCUUGGUAGGACAUCUGAACCCUGAAGCUACUGAGAGAAAGCCAACUUGGUGAGUUUGGGGAGUUUCCUCAAAAUGUGCAGAAGCACUUUAUGAGAUUUCCGAUGACAGAAACAGAAGGAGAAAACCUCUCUAGACAUGUGCCCGCCAGAUGGCCAUCACUGCUGCCAGCCAUAGAAAAGAUGCUAAAAUGUUGGCCCGCCGCAAAACCAUAUUUUCAAAGUGUGGGAGAAGAAGAAUGUCUUCCUUUGAUUGGGAAACAUAUUGAGAGUGAGAAUGGAGAAAAGGAUUACAGUAAAAUAGAUAUUUAUAUGCUGUUUCUCUAAAACUGUUUGAUGAUAUUUGAAGAGACUGGAGGGAGCUUACAGAAGGAUGGACUGACUGCCUCUGAGUUGUUUGAUGUUAGAUAUGAGUUGAGACAAAACUUCAUACAAUGGAAAGGUGAUUCAUUUUUUGGAAAUAAGACUUUUGGAACUAAACAAAAUGUCACUAGAAAAGGGUAGCCACAUGAACAUUUAACAGGACUUCCUUAAUUUCCUUUCAAAAACUAUAAUCUGGACCCAGCAGAUGAUGUAACAGUUAUGUUGCUGGACUCCCAUGUAGUUGACCGUGGUUCAAGACAUGGGCCCAGCUGCUUACAACUCGUGCCGGGCACAUGUGUGUGUGUGUGUGUGUGUGUGUGUGUGCCCGCCCAAA